ACUCGUACCAGCUUCGUCCAGGACCAGCGCUGUCUCGGACCCGCGCCACCUGUGCCUCCCCAGUGCCCUGCCGGGCCCACGCGCCAAGGUUGGGGGUCUCGGCGCCGCGUGUGACCUGGCGGCAGUGAUACGCUUGACUUCGUAUUGUCACCAACACACCUCACCAGCACCCGGGCAGAUUGCUGAUCCCUCAAACUUUGCAAACGAGCGUGAGCAACGCACUCUCCGCAUCCCCCCAUUUUCCUCAUCUGCAUGGAGGCGGGCUUUUGAAUCGGCGAUGGCAAAGCAUUUAACUACCGGACUCUGCUAAGUUUUUACAACUCAACGGCGACUGUAUCAAAUGGGGCCGUCCGCACUUAACAGGCAAUCCACUGAGACUGAAAUUCCAAGACCUCUUGACAAACUGCCGGGUAACACGCGAGCGCGAGCAAUAGAUUUAGAGAAGCAGUAAGUAACCUGGGCCUGGUAGGCUGGACAGCGAUAGAAGGCUGGCCCGGGAGCCGGGAAACCUGGGUUAAACCGGAUUCAAUCUGGGCUUCGUCCCAUCGCCAUGUGACCCUGGGCAGGUCACAGCACCGCUCUGUGCCUCGGAUUCCUCCUUCGCAAAGGGUGAAGAUUGAGUAGGGGUAGGGGACCCACAUUUCUUUGUUGCUUACUCUCACAAAACCGAUUUCUUCUAAAUCUCCGAAUAUCUAGAAAUGGGUUAUUAUUAACCCCAUUUUACAGAAGACGGAAUGAGGCUCGAAGAAUCCGGUAUUAGAACCGGAGCCAAGAUGAGCUGCAAAGUAGCCCAGCCAGGAAUCCCCCUCGGAGACCUCGGAGCCUGUCUUCCUCACAGUAAAUGAGGGACUCGCGCUCCAUUUCUGGUUUUCUUCUUGCCAUAGGAUGCCUUUGAGAUUUGUCACUAUACCUCAGUUUCUUCAACUGAAAAUAAGAAUGAUGUCACCAUCCUGCUCAUUUACAGACUCUUAGCUCAAGUGCUAUCUGCGAAAAGCUAGGUAGAGUCCACACCCAGAGCGGAGCAGCUCACAUUUCCUGCCACCCCCCCACAGGAAAAUUCUGUGAGACUGAGAAGACCUUGGGGGAUCCUCGGGGUAACCAAAGGCCAGUGCAGUGGUGGCCAGUGCAGUGACAGCCGUCUGGGCCUGCAGGAGAAGUUAUCCCCUAUUGGAGCUGGGGGAGGCGUCUUCCAAGGGUGACCAGGGCAACUGCAAGGUGGAGCUGGAGCCUUGAGAUGUCUGUGAACCUGUGGGGCCCUGCUGAGACUCACCUGCCGUCCUGAGAAGCAAGGCUAGAGGCCACAGGAGGCGGCGCUGUGGCGCUGUCCUGACCGGCUCAGCCACCGUCCACACUGACAGCACACCUAAUGGUAUCUGGCCUCCUCACUGGCCUCCUUGUCAGAUGGACAAACAAAUUCCUCUCCACUGUAGAAGGGAGAAAAUUAUACCCGCGCCAUGGGUUAUCUCAGGGAGUGACGUACAAGUCCUUGCCUGGCACUGGGGGAGUGAUAUAAACAGAAGGUAGUUUAUAGUGAGGCUGAAUUCUUCCAGGGCAAGCCCCAGCUUGCAGCCCCAGGGCCCAGGAAGACAUUUAUGGGGCUGAAGUAGGGCUCAGGUCCCUCCGGUGAGUUCAGGGCCAGCACUGUGCCCACCUAGAGGUGCCUUCCUGGAGGCAGAGGCCCAGGCUGCCGGCCCGCUGAACCCCAAGAAAUCCAAGUACUGAGCCCACAGGUAAAUGUCAAGUCCAAUCUUUGAUUGGGCCCAGGAGGCUGGGAGGAGUGGGAGAGGACUUUAUUGGGACAACUGGAGAAAAUUGAAUAAAGGUUGAUAUUACUUUA
rnacentral:lncRNA from 1 species